rnacentral:lncRNA from 1 species
GGAUUUUCACGCGUCAGGACUUUUUGGUGGAGGAAAUAACUGUGUGUGAGUGGAGAGGAGAGGAGAAGUGAACUGUACUGCACACAAGCACCUGGUGUUGUUUUUAGGGAGGGCACCUGAGAGUCCAUAGGUGGACAAGUGAGUCAGAGGACACCAGGCUGGAGCAGGGAAGAGAGAUUACUGUGUCUGCCUGAGGCGGUACAGAGACUGUGGCUGAAACACUAGGAUUUGCCCCAGGAAAGCAACAACAAAAACUUGGAAAAGAACAGGGAAAAGCAGUAAGAAUAACUUGAAAGACUUUGCCUUUCAGCAAAUGGCAUAAGGACUGUGGUCUAAUGGUUAUCUGUGAACACAAUUCACUGUUGGUGCUGUUUUC